UCCCUUAGAUGUUCUGGGCCACACGCGCGUUACACUGAUGAAGCCAGCGAGUAUAUCGCCUUCACCGGAAGGUGCGGGUAAUCUUGUGAAACUUCAUCGUGCUGGGGAUAGACCAUUGCAAUUAUUGGUCUUGAACGAGGAAUUCCUAGUAAGCAUGAGUCAUCAACUCGUGCUGAUUACGUCCCUGCCCUUUGUACACACCGCCCGUCGCUACUACCGAUUGAAUGGUUUAGUGAGAUCUCGGGAUUGGAGACGUUGCGCCGCAAGGCACAUCGUCCUCGAGAACUUGAUCAAACUUGAUCAUUUAGAGGAAGUAAAAGUCGUAACA
rnacentral:rRNA from 1 species